rnacentral:rRNA from 1 species
GAUGAACGCUGGCGGCGUGCUUAACACAUGCAAGUCGAACGGGAUCCAGGGAGUGCUUGCACUUUUUGGUGAGAGUGGCGAACGGGUGAGUAACACGUGAGUAACCUGUCCUUUUCUUUGGGAUAAGCUCCUGAAAGGGUGUUUAAUACCUUAUGUUCUGUCUGCCUCGCAUGGGGUGGGUGGGAAAGAUUUGUUUCGUUAAGGGGUGGGCUCGCGGUCUAUCAGCUUGUUGGUGGGGUGAUGGCUUACCAAGGCUUUGACGGGUAGCCGGCCUGAGAGGGUGGUCGGUCACAUUGGGACUGAGAUACGGCCCAGACUCCUGCGGGAGGCAGCAGUGGGGGAUAUGGCACAAUGGGCGCAAGCCUGAUGCAGCGACGCCGCGUGGGGGAUGAAGGCCUUCGGGUUGUAAACUUCUUUUGCUCUGAACAAGGCGCAUCUUUGGGGUGUGUUGAGUGUAGGGGUUGAUUAGCGCCGGCUAACUACGUG